rnacentral:rRNA from 1 species
AACCUCUUUUAUCAAGGAAGAAGAUCUGACGGUACUUGAUGAAUAAGCCACGGCUAAUUCCGUGCCAGCAGCCGCGGUAAUACGGGAGAGGCAAGCGUUAUCCGGAAUUAUUGGGCGUAAAGCGUCCGCAGGCGGCCUUUUAAGUCUGUUGUCAAAGCGUGGAGCUUAACUCCAUUUCGGCAAUGGAAACUGGGAGGCUUGAGUGUGGUAGGGGCAGAGGGAAUUCCCGGUGUAGCGGUGAAAUGCGUAGAUAUCGGGAAGAACACCAGUGGCGAAGGCGCUCUGCUGGGCCAUAACUGACGCUCAUGGACGAAAGCCAGGGGAGCGAAAGGGAUUA